AAAUAUUGGGACAUAUAAAAAAAGACAACUUUGUUCCGCAGAGUAGCUGUUGACAUUAUAGUUGCGCAGGAACUUUGUUGACUCUAGAGAACCUCGGGCAAAUCGCACAUCCUCGUGGCGCCGACUUUGUCAUCCAUAUCAACUUUCGAUGCCAGUUUCUGCGCCUACUAUGGUGAACACGGGUAAUGGGGAAUCAGGGUUCCAUUCCGUACAGGGACCCUGAGAAAUGGCUACCACAUGCAAGGAUAGCAGCAGGCGCGCAAAUGACCCACUCCCGACGCGAGAAGGUAGUGAU